rnacentral:lncRNA from 1 species
CCCGCUUGCAGAUAGGGGGAGAUCGCGAACGUCAGGUCUUCCCAGUAUGAAAAUGUGAUGCAAGAGAUUUUGCCAUCGACAGCCAUCAAUAUCGUUAAGCCCUGCACAACUAACGUGCUGUUUCCCAUUUAACAACAGAAAUAAAUUAUGCUCAACUGGGACCACUGGCUGAUGUGAUUUAUUUGGACAAAACACAACGCAAGGAGAGUACGAUUUACAUCUGUCAGAACCUUGAUUUAAUAUCACAUCCAGAACGUACAAGUCAUGAGCAGAAACUACAUGUCCAAGUAUGAUGAGAUGCAUAGGGAGACUACCUUAUGUCCAACAACCACAAGUGGAAAGCUUGCUUCCAGCGCGACGCCUAUCGCAAGACGACUGCAACUUUGUAAUGUACAAGAAGGACAACAAGAUGAUAUGGCAGACCAAGUGCCCGGCGUCUGGUGGCUGUGUAAUGAUGUGCCGCAUGUGGCUGUGUAAUGAUGGCACCAUGGUGGUGGAGAGGAGGUGUGGUCCUCUGCUCAGUCUAAGGGAUUCAAGCAGUGAGCAGAGCACCUGCAUCUCUACCGGGGAUAAGUUCAUGUUGAUAAUACCCACACUUUCCAUCUGUGUUGUAUGACUGUCUUCCUUGACCUAUGUUCAAUAAAGAGCAUGGUAAAAAUAAAAGAUC